CCUACGGGUGGCAGCAGUGGGGGAUAUUGGACAAUGGGGGCAACCCUGAUCCAGCGACGCCGCGUGAGUGAAGAAGUAUUUCGGUAUGUAAAGCCCUGUCAGCCGGGAAGAAAGAAAUGACGGUACCUGACCAAGAAGCCCCGCCUAACUAAGUGCCAGCAGCCGAGUCAAUACGUAGGGCGCAAGCGGUAUCCGGAAUUACUGGGUGUAAAGGGAGCGUAGGGGGUGAUGCAAGCCUGGAGUGAAAGGCUGGGGCCCAACCCCCGGACUGCUCUGGAAACUGUGUGACUUGAGUGCAGGAGAGGUAAGCGGAAUGCGUAGUGUAGCGGUGAAAUGCGUAGAUAUUAGGAAGAACUCCAGUGGCGAAGGCAGCUUACUGGACUGUAACUGACGUUGAGGCUCGAAAGCGUGGGGAGCAAACAGGAUUAGAUACCCCAGUAGUC
rnacentral:rRNA from 1 species